CGGGUUGUGAUACCACCGCCGUUACAGUCUCCCAACCACCUUUAGGCCGAAAGCAGCCAGAGUCACUUCCAGCAGCCCUUGCAUACAGAAAACAAGGUUGAAGCACAUGCAAACAUCAGAAGAAAGAACAUUGUGCACUAUGCCUGCAGCAAAGAAUGAGAAGAAGCAUCUGUACAAGGAGACAUUAGAAUAAAAAAAAAGACCUGAGCUGCAAAGACUGAAAUACCUUUUCAAAAAUGGCAGAGUUCCAGGAACUUGGGGGAAGGGGGAUUUUUUUUUUUUUUUUUUU